rnacentral:ncRNA from 2 species
CAGACUGACACGGGGUGCCGACACAAGGUCGGCUGAGAUCAGACCCGCAGAACCUGCUCCAGUUAGCACUGGCGAAGGGAUGGUCCGAAAAUGCCUG